UACGUAGGGUGCAAGCGUUUGUCCGGAAUUAUUGGGCGUAAAGAGCUCGUAGGCGGCUUGUCGCGUCGACCGUGAAAACUUGGGGCUCAACCCCAAGCCUGCGGUCGAUACGGGCAGGCUAGAGUUCGGUAGGGGAGACUGGAAUUCCUGGUGUAGCGGUGAAAUGCGCAGAUAUCAGGAGGAACACCGGUGGCGAAGGCGGGUCUCUGGGCCGAUACUGACGCUGAGGAGCGAAAGCGUGGGGAGCGAACAGG
rnacentral:rRNA from 1 species